UUGGAGGGCAAGUCUGGUGCCAGCAGCCGCGGUAAUUCCAGCUCCAAUAGCGUAUAUUAAAGUUGUUGCAGUUAAAAAGCUCGUAGUUGAACUUCGGGGUCUACCCAUUGGUCAGGCUUAAUUGUCUGCACUGGUGAGAUGGAUCUCUACCUUCUGAGGAACUUUCAUGCCAUUUAUUUGGUGUGGUUGGAAAUCAGGACUGUUACUUUGAAAAAAUUAGAGUGUUUAAAGCAGACUAUCGUCUGAAUACAUUAGCAUGGAAUAAUGAAAUAGGACGGACUGAUUCUAUUUCGUUGGUUUCUAGGAUCACCGUAAUGAUUAAUAGGGAUAGUUGGGGGCAUUAGUAUUCAAUUGUCAGAGGUGAAAUUCUUGGAUUUAUUGAAGACUAACUACUGCGAAAGCAUUUGCCAAGGAUGUUUUCAUUAAUCAAGAACGAAAGUUAGGGGAUCGAAGACGAUCAGAUACCGUCGUAGUCUUAACCAUAAACUAUGCCGACUAGGGAUCGGACGAAGUUAAUUUUAUAAUGACGCGUUCGGCGCCUUACGAGAAAC
rnacentral:rRNA from 1 species